GCCGCACCGCCGGGCGAAGGUGAGCUGUCUCACGUAGCUUGCCCUGCCACCUGCAGCGCAGAGCCGGUUUUCCCGGUUUCUAGAAAGAGAACUGUCACGACCCCUUUGCUCUGAGGUGUGCCUGUUAUUUCAGAAACUGCCUUCUAGGGAUUCCAGCUGUGCCCACGCACAAAAUUCCCAGUCUUCAAUAAACAGCGUGUGUGGGGAUUGUUUCUUAUGGGUCGUGAAAGGCUCCAGUGUGAGCUUUGUAGAUGACAGCCUUGUGUGGCAAUGUCAAAAGGUUGGACAUUCCAGCUUGUGAAAAUGAGAGCCGCCUAAGGAUGGAUCAGAUUGCACUGUAGACAAGAUUAUCUGCCGUUAGUAGGCUAGAAAUCCCCUGGGUUUAAAUGACAUCAAGUGUUUACAGAAAUGCAGAAGAAUGAGUAAACUUCUAAUUCUUCCAGAGGUGGAUCAUGCACCCAAUGGCCAGUUGCAUAGGUGCAACAGGCAAGGAAAGAAAACACAGGGACUCUAACACUUGCCCUAGGGAGACAAGAUGUCCUUCCUAAAGCAGGAAGCGUGGAUGCGGAUUUCCCAGCUCUGCACCAUCGCACCUGAAGCCUUACAUCACCAGGCAUUCUCUACCACACACAGGAGAAAGCAAACGCUGAGCCGCCCAGGUGGACAGUGCUUACCCAUUUUCUCCAUGAACGUUUCAUAGUUCUCAUUCCGGUUUACUUUCCAACUGCCGUCAAAUGCCAUGGCCUCAGCUGUGUGCGCCUCUGGGAAAGCAGAGAUUCGGUCCUGUCCACAAGAGAGAAUUUAUCCUAUUUCUUAUCUUUGAACCAUUUCAUAGUGUGGUGUGGAAGUUUAAAGUUCAAG